rnacentral:ncRNA from 1 species
GAAGGUAGAGGUCGCGUGGUUGAUGAGUAAUCUGUUGGAUAUGAAUCGGCAUAGGAGAAGACAGAUGAAAGGCGAAACGCCGAAGACAGAGCCAGCCGUUAAGGUUUUUGUCUGGGCAUAUGGUGAAGAAUCAUAUGACUGUCAUCUGAAAUAGAUGGAGGGCUACUUAA